UACGUAGGGCGCAAGCGUUGUCCGGAAUUAUUGGGCGUAAAGAGCUCGUAGGCGGUUUGUUGCGUCGGCUGUGAAAUCCCGAGGCUCAACCUCGGGUCUGCAGUCGAUACGAGCAAACUAGAGUGUUGCAGGGGAGACUGGAAUUCCUGGUGUAGCGGUGAAAUGCGCAGAUAUCAGGAGGAAGACCAGUGGCGAAGGCGGGUCUCUGGACAGUUCCUGACACUGAGACACGAAGGCCAGGGGAGCAAACGGG
rnacentral:rRNA from 1 species